rnacentral:rRNA from 1 species
CCCGCUGAACUUAAGCAUAUCAAUAAGCGGAGGAAAAGAAACUAACAAGGAUUCCCCUAGUAACUGCGAGUGAAGCGGGAAGAGCUCAAAUUUUGAAUCUGGCGGUGUUUGGCCGUCCGAGUUGUAAUCUAGAGAAGCGUCUUCCGCGCCGGACCGUGCACAAGUCUCCUGGAAUGGAGCCUCAUAGAGGGUGAGAAUCCCGUCUUUGGCACGGACGACCGGGGCUUUUGUGAUGCGCUCUCGAAGAGUCGAGUUGUUUGGGAAUGCAGCUCAAAAUGGGUGGUAAAUUCCAUCUAAAGCUAAAUACAGGCGAGAGACCGAUAGCGAACAAGUACCGUGAGGGAAAGAUGAAAAGAACUUUGGAAAGAGAGUUAAACAGUAUGUGAAAUUGCUGAAAGGGAAACGCUUGAUGUCAGUCACGUUGGCUAGGGAUCAACCUUGCUUCUCGCUGGGUGUAUUUCCUAGUGGACGGGUCAGCAUCAGUUUCGGUCGCUGUACAAGGGCAAAGGGAACGUGGCACUCCUUGGAGUGUGUUAUAGCCUUUCGUCGUAUGCAGUGGUUGGGACUGAGGAACUCGGCACGAAAUCUAUUUUGUGCUUAGGAUGCUGGCAUAAUGGCCUUAAGCGACCCGUCUUGAAACACGG